rnacentral:lncRNA from 1 species
CACCAGGUAGUGCGGAGUUUAUCACCAGUGCUGCCGAUUGCAUAGUCUAAUUUAUACAUGUUCAGCUUUGGUAUUGUUCAGCAUGUUUAUCUUGAUCAUCAUCAUUUCAUAGUGCUUUUUAAAAAAUAUUGUAUGGAAUCACAUAAUGAUAAUGGAUUCCUAAAAGUAUUCAAAGCCCAAGUAACACAUAAAGUGAAUAUUUUAGGAUUCAACUGAAAUGACUCAAAGCUUUAUCUCAGAACCAAUGGGAUUUUGAGAAACUGGAAUAAGUAAUCAAAGAAAAUUAGAGUCUCACUUCAUAAGUGUCAAGUGAUUCAGCUAUUUUUUGUUACAAAAAAUGUAAGUAGGAGAUUCUCAAUCACUCAAGUUCUUCGUAACU